GAUGAACGCUGGCGGCGUGCUUAACACAUGCAAGUCGAACGAUGAAGCCCAGCUUGCUGGGUGGAUUAGUGGCGAACGGGUGAGUAACACGUGAGUAACCUGCCCUUAACUCUGGGAUAAGCCUGGGAAACUGGGUCUAAUACCGGAUAGGAGCGCCUACCGCAUGGUGGGUGUUGGAAAGAUUUAUCGGUUUUGGAUGGACUCGCGGCCUAUCAGCUUGUUGGUGAGGUAAUGGCUCACCAAGGCGACGACGGGUAGCCGGCCUGAGAGGGUGACCGGCCACACCGGGACUGAGACACGGCCCAGACUCCUACGGGAGGCAGCAGUGGGGAAUAUUGCACAAUGGGCGAAAGCCUGAUGCAGCGACGCCGCGUGAGGGAUGACGGCCUUCGGGUUGUAAACCUCUUUCAGUAGGGAAGAAGCGAAAGUGACGGUACCUGCAGAAGAAGCACCGGCUAACUACGUG
rnacentral:rRNA from 1 species